AACGAACGCUGGCGGCAGGCUUAACACAUGCAAGUCGAGCGCAUCCUUCGGGGUGAGCGGCAGACGGGUGAGUAACGCGUGGGAACGUACCCUUUCCUACGGAAUAGCUCCGGGAAACUGGAAUUAAUACCGCAUACGCCCUUAGGGGGAAAGAUUUAUCGGGGAAGGAUCGGCCCGCGUUGGAUUAGCUAGUUGGUGGGGUAAAGGCCUACCAAGGCGACGAUCCAUAGCUGGUCUGAGAGGAUGAUCAGCCACAUUGGGACUGAGACACGGCCCAAACUCCUACGGGAGGCAGCAGUGGGGAAUAUUGGACAAUGGGCGCAAGCCUGAUCCAGCCAUGCCGCGUGAGUGAUGAAGGCCUUAGGGUUGUAAAGCUCUUUCAGUAGGGAAGAUAAUGACGGUACCUACAGAAGAAGCCCCGGCUAACUUCGUGCCAGCAGCCGCGGUAA
rnacentral:rRNA from 1 species